CGAGAUUAUGGUUGCAUUAGCCACAAAAAUAAAGCCACAUAAACAUAUUUUAUCGAUUGUUUUUUCAACCCACGCUGAAAUUUCUUGUCGAUAUUGCACAUGACGAUUUUUCAAGCCGGUCAACGGAGAUGAAACUUACAUCCGGGGUACUUCAAAUCCUGGAGGACGAAAUUUCAACCCGAGCUGAAAUUUGUAUUAGGGUUGAAACUUUGUCAGGAGCUUUGUUUUACAAAGUUUUUUACGUAGCCCGGACUGGGUUGAAAUUUUACCCUGAGUUGAAAAUGUCCAUGUAAUAGGCUCCUAAAUCAAGCACGAAAUGAUAUGCUAUAAACAUCCAAUAAUAAUAAGCUUACAGAAAUAUAGUGAUGGAUAGUAGCCGUAUAUCACAGGAAAAAAAAAUUUCAAAUAAUGAGUUUUCAAGGGUUUUUAAAGAUUUACCAUGUAGAAACCAUGGAAAAACUGAACUUUUAGCAUUCAUGGAAAAACUGAAUUUUUAUACCAUUCAUGGAAAAACUGAACUCUUACUAUUCAUGGAAAAACUGAAUUUUUAUACCAUUCAUGGAAAAACUAUACCCCUAUACAUUAUUGGUUACUAUAAAUUACCCAAAUCGUUAUUUGGUAAUAAUCAUCAUGUUUAAUUAUUUAGCAUUAAUGGUAUAUUUUAAUUUUUUCCUGUGUAUAUGUGACUAAUUUCCAUCGCUAUCCAAGACAGAGCGCUAUAAGGAGUUGGCCACUGAUCUCAAAACCAUGACUGGAUAAUGGAUCUGUUAUGUAGACCUGAAACAAUGGCGGCAAUAUUAGUGGGACCAUCACAAAACUACUGUUUUGGUGUUGACGUGUUAGAAAAAGUUCUUAGCGCUUUUGGUUUUAAGUGUGAAAGGAUACGUACAUUGUCUACAUAGAAAUUGGUCCUCAGUGGCUUCUCUUUCUGAUGUUUAAUUUGCGAGUGAAUAACUAAUGAGGUCACAUCAAUAUUGCGACUUCAACCCUCAUUACCUAUGCCUAGAACGUCCUAAAACUCAUUAGAAGAAGCGUGGAAAGCCAUAUCUUUCAACUUUCGAAAGAAUAUUUCCUUGAUAUGAAAACUAAUUUAAAUAACAUACCAUUCGAUUUGUAAAAAAAAUUAUCAUUAAAAUCUCUUCUCAUUAUAAAAUUCCGGCUUCAAAAUUGUCUCAUUGAAUAGAAAUGAAUUAUCCAGUCCUAUAGGAAUUAGAUAAGUGAGUUUAGCAACGUCAUUGCAGUCUCUAACUUAUAAUUGUUGUUUAAAAAAUAUAUUUUCAAACAAGCUGGAUGCGAGUUCAUCAGUGCCUAAGUGUCUUAAUUAAGGAGGUAAUCCUUGAAUAAUAAAUAAUAGAAAAACAAUGUGCAUUUUAAAUCGUGCAUGUUGCAUUAUAUGUGUAUAUUCUUAUACUAGUUUUUGAUAUAUUGUUUAAUUCACCUUUUCAACAAAAACGACGCCAUCUUUAAUUGCAAUGUAUUGCGGCAUAUAGCAACGAAAAAAGGUCAUGCACAUAAAAAGCUGUUUGGGUCGUACGAAGACACC
rnacentral:lncRNA from 1 species